GUAGUAGUGGGUGUAGCGUACCUACUAGCCUACGACGGGUACGGGUUGUGAGAGCAAGAGCCCGGAGAUGGAUUCUGAGACACGAAUCCAGGCCCUACGGGGUGCAGCAGGCGCGAAAACUUUACAAUGCUGGCAACAGCGAUAAGGGAACCUCGAGUGCCAGGUUACAAAUCUGGCUGUCGAGAUGCCUAAAAAGCAUUUCAUAGCAAGGGCCGGGCAAGACCGGUGCCAGCCGCCGCGGUAACACCGGCGGCUCGAGUGGUAACCGUUAUUAUUGGGUCUAAAGGGUCUGUAGCCGGCCGGAUAAGUCUCUUGAGAAAUCUGGCAGCUUAACUGUCAGGCUUUCAGGAGAUACUGUCUGGCUCGAGGCCGGGAGAGGUGAGAGGUACUUCAGGGGUAGGGGUGAAAUCUUGUAAUCCUUGAAGGACCACCAGUGGCGAAGGCGUCUCACCAGAACGGACCUGACGGCAAGGGACGAAAGCUAGGGGCACGAACCGGAUUAGAUACCCGGGUAGUCCUAGCCGUAAACGAUACUCGCUAGGUGUCGGCCACGGUGCGACCGUUGUCGGUGCCGUAGGGAAGCCGUGAAGCGAG
rnacentral:rRNA from 1 species